UGGGGAAUAUUGGACAAUGGGCGAAAGCCUGAUCCAGCCAUGCCGCGUGUGUGAAGAAGGUCUUCGGAUUGUAAAGCACUUUAAGUUGGGAGGAAGGGCAGUUACCUAAUACGUGAUUGUUUUGACGUUACCGACAGAAUAAGCACCGGCUAACUCUGUGCCAGCAGCCGCGGUAAUACAGAGGGUGCAAGCGUUAAUCGGAAUUACUGGGCGUAAAGCGCGCGUAGGUGGUUAGUUAAGUUGGAUGUGAAAUCCCCGGGCUCAACCUGGGAACUGCAUUCAAAACUGACUGACUAGAGUAUGGUAGAGGGUGGUGGAAUUUCCUGUGUAGCGGUGAAAUGCGUAGAUAUAGGAAGGAACACCAGUGGCGAAGGCGACCACCUGGACUGAUACUGACACUGAGGUGCGAAAGCGUGGGGAGCAAACAGGAUUAGAUACCCAGUAGUCCCUGAGCGGGCUGGCAAGGCGCAU
rnacentral:rRNA from 1 species